rnacentral:rRNA from 1 species
UGCCGUAAACGAGGAGGAAGGUAGGGGGAGUGACGUCAAGUCAGCGAUGGCCCUUACGCCUUGGGCUACACACACGCUACAAUGGGUGAUACAACAGGUUGCGAAAGAGCGAUCUGGAGCUAAUCCCUAAAAUCAUCCUCAGUUCGGAUUGCAGGCUGAAACUGCCUGCAUGAAGUUGGAGUUGCUAGUAACCGCAGGUCAGCACACUGCGGUGAAUACGUUCUCGGGCCUU